GCCGCCAUAGCCCAACUGGUAGAGGUGUCGCGCUCAGAACGCGAAGGUCAAGGUUCGAAUCCUUGUGGCGGUA
rnacentral:tRNA from 1 species